rnacentral:rRNA from 1 species
AAACUACCAAGGAUUCCCCUAGUAACGGCGAGUGAAGCGGGAAGAGCUCAAAUUUGAAAUCUAAUGGCCUCAGGUCAUUCGAGUUGUAAUCUAUAGGAACGUUUUCCGUGCCGGCUCAUGUACAAGUCCCUUGGAACAGGGCGUCAUAGAGGGUGAGAAUCCCGUACUUGACAUGAACUACCGGUGCUCUGUGAUACGUCUCCAACGAGUCGAGUUGUUUGGGAAUGCAGCUCAAAAUGGGUGGUAAAUUCCAUCUAAAGCUAAAUAUUGGUGUGAGACCGAUAGCGAACAAGUACCGUGAGGGAAAGAUGAAAAGCACUUUGGAAAGAGAGUUAAAAAGUAUGUGAAAUUGUUGAAAGGGAAACGAUUGAAGUCAGUCAUGUCCUUCAGAUUCAGCUGGUUCUGCCGGUGUAUUUCUGUUGGAUGGGGUCAACAUCAGUUUUGGAUGCCGGAUAAAGGUGGGAGGAAGGUAGUACCCCCGGGUAAACUUAUAGCCUCUCAUUGCAUACGGUGACUGGGACUGAGGAACGCAGCUUGCCUUUAUGGCCGGGGUUCGCCCACGUACAAGCUUAGGAUGUUGACAUAAUGGCUUUAAACGAC